ensembl:lincRNA 4930578M01Rik RIKEN cDNA 4930578M01 gene
GGGAGACUGAAGAAGCCAGUCUGUCCCACACCGGGAGACUCUGUCCAAAACAAAACAGAAACAACAGUAACAAAACUGGAGAAUGCCAGCCGGGAAGACUGUUGAUUAGCGGUGUUUCUUGUGGUUUUUACCUUGUAGCCAGGGUGCCCUGGAACAUGACAGCCUCCUCCUUUGGCCACCAGAGUGCUAGGGACAGCCUGCAAGAGCGUUUCUUGGCGUAGCCCUGGCAUUCUUGAUUCCUGGCCUUUGCCUCCUGACACUGAAGAAAUUUCUUAGCAGACAAAUGUCUCUGAUGGUGUGUGAGAGGUUAAGUCUCUGCUACCUGCGGACUGAGCCAAUUCAAGCCAGAUUAUAUUAUACUAAAGGAGUCCAUUUGUGUUGAAGUUUGGGCCAAGGAUGUGGGGCCGUAAAGCCUUGAGCAGCGACACAGCAAGCAUAAAGGACUAAGGAAGAUGGACGCCUAAUACUUUCAGUCUAGGGGGCCAAUGACCUGGCUCUGGAACCACCAGCAGAAAGGUUCACCCCUGGAUAGUUAGAAUACUUACCCUUUUAAUGAGAUGCUGUGCCUUCCCUUCCCAGAACUCCCACACCCCUGCAGGUUUGCAGGGCUGCACUCAGCCACAAGUGCUUUUCUUUUAGGAUCUUAGGGGGAAAAAAUGUAACUUUUCCUUUGUUCUAUCUUGGCUGCAAGUGGCUGCUCGCUGUUCUGUGUGUGUGUGUGUGUGUGUGUGUGUGUGUGACCUCCAACCUCAGAUUAGCUGGAAUGGGAUGGGGUUGUUUUUUUCUUUUUCUCUUCUCCAGUAGUCCCCUCUGGGAAGCUACUGAGAUUUCCAGCUUCUCUGCCUGGUCCUUUUGUUUGCUUGUUUGUUUGUUUUAACUUCUGAUACAAUUGUCCUUCAUCUUCU